GCGGUGAAUCGUGUGAGAAUGCAGGAGUAGAACGCUGCUUUUUAGAUGGCUUAGCUUCCAAAUCACUAGAAGAUUUCCUAACAAAUGGGGAUGAGAUUGCUGAGUUUGUGGCUGCGGGUGAAACUACUUCAGGAGUAGGAGACAUGCUAGACUCUGUGAAUUGAUCGGCGGAUGCGACAGAUGGAGCAAAUGAAAAAACAUCGUGAUCGUAAUUGAAUGGGGGAAGAUAUGUAGAGUCA